AUUGAACGCUGGCGGCAGGCCUAACACAUGCAAGUCGAGCGAGCGGCGGACGGGUGAGGAAUGUAAGGGGACUGCCCGAUAGAGAGGGAUAACUAAUGGAAACGGUAGCUAAUACCGCAUACUAUCGGCUAACCCAGAUGGGAGUAGAUAGUAGGUGAGGUAAUGGCUAACAAAGGCUACGAUCCCUAGCUGGUCUGAGAGGAUGAUCAGCCACACUGGGACUGAGACACGGCCCAGACUCCUACGGAGGCAGCAGUGGGGAAUAGUGCACAAUGGGCGCAAGCCUGAUGCAGCCAUGCCGCGUGUAUGAAGAAGGCCUUAGGGUUGUAAAGUACUUUCAGUCGGGAGGCGUUACCGACAGAAGAAGCACCGGCUAACUACGUGCCAGCAGCCGCGGUAAUAC
rnacentral:rRNA from 1 species